CUUGGUCAUUUAGAGGAAGUAAAAGUCGUAACAAGGUCUCCGUUGGUGAACCAGCGGAGGGAUCAUUACCGAGUACUAUAACUCAUAACCCUUUGUGAACCUUUAUACCUGUUGCUUCGGCGGCGCGCCUCCCGGGGCGUGCCCGCCGGCAUUAUCAGAAUCUCUGUUCGAACCCGACGAUACAUCUGAGUGUUCUAAGCGAACUGUUAAAACUUUCAACAACGGAUCUCUUGGCUCCAGCAUCGAUGAAGAACGCAGCGAAACGCGAUAUGUAAUGUGAAUUGCAGAAUUCAGUGAAUCAUCGAAUCUUUGAACGCACAUGGCGCCUUCCAGUAUCCUGGGAGGCAUGCCUGUCCGAGCGUCGUUUCAACCCUCGAGCCCCCGUGGCCCGGCGUUGGGGAUCUGCCCAGGCAGUCCCCGAAAACCAGUGGCGGACCCGUUGGGCCCUUCCUUUGCGUAGUAACAUCUGCCUCGCAUCGGGAGCCUGCGGGCUAUCCGGCCUCUAAACCCCCCUCAAGCCCGCUCCGGCGGCACCAAGGUUGACCUCGGAUCAGGUAGGAAUACCCGCUGAACUUAAGCAUACCAAUAAGCGGAGGAAAAGAAACCAACAGGGAUUGCCUCAGUAACGGCGAGUGAAGCGGCAACAGCUCAAAUUUGAAAUCUGGCUCCUUCGGGGCCCGAGUUGUAAUUUGCAGAGGAUGCUUCGGGUACGGGUUCCUUCCGAGUUCCCCGGAACGGGACGCCAUAGAGGGUGAGAGCCCCGUCUGGUAGGACACCCAGCCCGUGUGAAGCUCCCUCGACGAGUCGAGUUGUUUGGGAAU
rnacentral:sRNA from 1 species